rnacentral:rRNA from 1 species
AUUGAACGCUGGCGGCAUGCCUUACACAUGCAAGUCGAACGGUAACAGGUUAAGCUGACGAGUGGCGAACGGGUGAGUAAUGUAUCGGAACGUGCCCAGUCGUGGGGGAUAACUACUCGAAAGAGUGGCUAAUACCGCAUACGACCUGAGGGUGAAAGCGGGGGACCGUAAGGCCUCGCGCGAUUGGAGCGGCCGAUAUCAGAUUAGCUAGUUGGUGGGGUAAAAGCCCACCAAGGCGACGAUCUGUAGCUGGUCUGAGAGGACGACCAGCCACACUGGGACGGAGACACGGCCCAGACUCCUACGGGAGGCAGCAGUGGGGAAUUUUGGACAAUGGACGCAAGUCUGAUCCAGCCAUGCCGCGUGCGGGAAGAAGGCCUUCGGGUUGUAAACCGCUUUUGUCAGGGAAGAAACGAGUUUCUCUAAUACAGGUCGGGGAUGAGAGUACCAGAAGAAUAAGGACCGGCUAACUACGUGCCAGCCGCCGCCGUAAGAC